GAUGAACGCUGGCGGCGUGCUUAACACAUGCAAGUCGAGCGAAGCGAUUUUAAGGAAGCCUUCGGGUGGAAAUAAAAUUGACUUAGCGGCGGACGGGUGAGUAACGCGUGGGUAACCUGCCUCAUACAGGGGGAUAACAGUUAGAAAUGACUGCUAAUACCGCAUAAGCGCACAGUGCUGCAUAGCACAGUGUGAAAAACUCCGGUGGUAUGAGAUGGACCCGCGUCUGAUUAAGUAGUUGGUAGGGUAACGGCCUACCAAGCCGACGAUCAGUAGCCGACCUGAGAGGGUGACCGGCCACAUUGGGACUGAGACACGGCCCAAACUCCUACGGGAGGCAGCAGUGGGGAAUAUUGGACAAUGGGAGAAACCCUGAUCCAGCGACGCCGCGUGACUGAAGAAGUAUUUCGGUAUGUAAAGGUCUAUCAGCAGGGAAGAAAAUGACGGUACCUGACUAAGAAGCCCCGGCUAACUACGUGCCAGCCGCCGCCGUAACAC
rnacentral:rRNA from 1 species